UACGGAGGGUGCGAGCGUUGUCCGGAAUCAUUGGGCGUAAAGAGCGUGUAGGCGGCCCGAUAAGUCCGCUGUGAAAGUCAAGGGCUUAACCCUUGAAUGCCGGUGGAAACUGUCGGGCUAGAGUCCGGAAGAGGCGAGUGGAAUUCCUGGUGUAGCGGUGAAAUGCGCAGAUAUCAGGAAGAACACCCGUGGCGAAGGCGGCUCUCUGGGACGGUACUGACGCUGAGACGCGAAAGCGUGGGGAGCGAACAGG
rnacentral:rRNA from 1 species